AGAACCCAGCUCUGUCCUCCCACCACUACGGAGGAGGAGGAGGAUGCACAAGUCUGCCAGCUGAUGAGGGAAGGAGAAGAGCUCCUGGGAAACAUGGAGGAGGCAGUAGCAUGGGCCACAGGGAUCCAGCUCCGGUCACUCUUCUUCACUGACACCUGAGACUCUGCGAUGGAAGCCACGGGUCAGCGAAUCUGAAAGAGAAACCCCUGAGAGAUCCUAGGCCCUGGGCUCCUGAGAGCAUUUCAUGAAGGAGGCUCCAGCCCCUUGAGAGGUGGAAAGAGCCCAGUCUUCUUACUCUUAUCUGCUCUUCUGCUCUGCUUCCCACAGCAGGACAAGGAUCCACAGGAUCAUGACUGGAGUUUGUACAGCCUCCCACACCACCCUAGUCUGCCUCUAAAUGAUCAAGCUCCUGAAUUUCAGAGCUGCCACAGCAGUCAAAACUUCACUUCAAAGCACUCAACACCUCUGGAAACUAGUAAUGAGAAAGGACCUAAACAUAAGUGCAGGGAACAGCUAAGCAGCUCUAUUCUUUUGUGAAUUGUGGAAAAACCAUGGAAGAGCUGGGGGCAUGGGAGAGGUGGU